GACGAACGCUGGCGGCGUGCUUAACACAUGCAAGUCGAACGGUGAAGGGACCGGUUUUUGCUGGUUCUGGAUGAGUGGCGAACGGGUAAGACACACGUGAGUAACCUUCCACCUUCUUCUGGAUAACCGCAUGUAAGUGUGGCUAAUACGGGAUAUUCUGCUUCUGCUGCAUGGUGGGAGUGGUAAAGAUAUUGUUUCGGUUGGGGAUGGGUUCGCGGCCUAUAAGCUUGAUGGUGGGGUGAUGGCCUACCAAGGCGGUGACGGGUAGACGGCCUGAGAGGGUGGACGGCCACAGUGGGACUGCGACACGGCUCAGACUCAGACGGGAGGCAGACGUGGAGAGUAGGGCACAAUGGGCGAAAGCGUGAUGCAGGGGCGCGGCGUGAGGGAUGAAGGCCUUCGGGUUGUAAACCUCUUUCGGUAGUGAAGCCCGCCUGCCCCUGUUGUAGGUGGGUUGACGGUAGCUGGAGAAGAAGCGCCGGCUAACUACGUG
rnacentral:rRNA from 1 species